rnacentral:rRNA from 1 species
AAAAAAAAAAAAAAAAAAGGNNCNNCNNCCGAGUUUUUUGCCAAUUUAGUUGAAAUCGCCUUACAGUUGACCUGGCUCAUGACGAACGCUGGCGGCGUGCUUAACACAUGCAAGUCAAGGAGAACGAAUCCUUCGGGAUACUAUUAAACUGGCGAACGGGUGAGUAACACGUAGGCAACCUACCUCAGAGAUUGGGAUAACUGCGGGAAACCGGAGCUAAUACCGAAUAAUGCAGCGGAUCCUUCGGGAUAUGUUGUUAAAGUGGGCUUCGGCUCACACUUUGAGAUGGGCCUGCGUCCGAUUAGUUUGUUGGUGGGGUAACGGCCUACCAAGACGGUGAUGGGUAGCCGACUUUAGCGAGUGACCGGCCACACUGGGACUGAGACACUGCCCAGACUCCUACGGGAGGCUGCAGUCGAGAAUCUUCUGCAAUGAACGCAAGUUUGACAGAGCGACGCCGCGUGUAGGAUUGAAGGCCCUCGGGUUGUAAACUACUGUUACAGGUUAAGAAAUGCUAGGGAGUUAAUAGCUUCUUAGUUUGACAAAGGCCUGGGAGAAAGCCACGGCUAACUUCGUGCCAGCAGCCGCGGUAAGACGAAGGUGGCAAGCGUUGUUCGGAAUCACUGGGCAUAAAGCGCGUGUAGGCGGUCUUUUAAGUCAGAUGUGAAAGCCCUCGGCCCAACCGAGGAAUGGCGUCUGAUACUGAGAGACUUGAGGAUCGGAGGGGUGUGUGGAAUUCCUAGUGGAGCGGUGAAAUGCGUUGAUAUUAGGAGGAACACCGGAGGCGAAGGCGACACACUGGUCGAUCACUGACGCUGAGAUGCGAAAGUAUGGGGAGCGAACGGGAUUAGAUACCCCGGUAGUCCAUACCGUAAACGAUGAGCACUAGGUGGGGGGUUUCUUAACAACUCCCUGCUGCCGUUAAUACAUUAAGUGCUCCGCCUGGGGAGUAUGGUCGCAAGGCUGAAACUCAAAGGAAUUGACGGGGGCUCACACAAGCGGUGGAGCAUGUUGAUUAAUUCGAAGCAACGCGCAGAACCUUACCUAGACUUGACAUGGAGGUGGUAGUGAACCGAAAGGGGAACAACUCUCUUUUUGAGAGAGCCUUCACAGGUGUUGCAUGGCUGUCGUCAGCUCGUGUCGUGAGAUGUUAGGUUAAGUCCUAUAACGAGCGAAACCCCUAUCGUUAGUUGCCAGCGUGUAAUGGCGGGGACUCUAGCGAGACCGCCGGUGUUAAACCGGAGGAAGGUGGGGAUGACGUCAAGUCCUCAUGGCCCUUACGUCUAGGGCUUCAAACGUGCCACAAUGGUGAAUACAAAGGGAUGCGAAAUCGCGAGGUCAAGCAAAUCCCAAAAAAUUCAUCUCAGUUCGGAUUGCAGGCUGCAACUCGCCUGCAUGAAGCUGGAAUCGCUAGUAAUCGCGGAUCAGCUACGCCGCGGUGAAAGUUCCUGAGCAUGUACUCACCGCCCGUAAGGCGAAUGUACAGCAGAUACGAAAACCUUUGNGNNNCCCUUUUUUUCUUUUUUUUU